GACGUAGGGCGCGAGCGUUGUCCGGAUUUAUUGGGCGUAAAGAGCGUGUAGGCGGACUGGAAGGUCUGGUGUGAAAGCCCGGGGCUCAACCCCGGAGGGUCACUGGAAACCAACAGUCUUGAAUCUGGAAGAGGAGAGUGGAAUUCCUGGUGUAGCGGUGGAAUGCGCAGAUAUCAGGAGGAACACCAAUGGCGAAGGCAGCUCUCUGGUACAUGAUUGACGCUGAGACGCGAAAGCGUGGGGAGCGAACAGG
rnacentral:rRNA from 1 species